CAAUACUUGUACAGCAUGAGAAUGAAUACAUCACAGAAAUUUUCUACAUUUCUCCUCUGCAUCAGAUCUUUCUAAAUUCAAUUCCGUCUUUUUCAUUAAAAAAAAACACAAAUUUUAUAUGGUAUCAGAGCUGUGAUGGAAGAAUCCAUCAAUACCAGUCAAACCACUCCUCCAAAUCCACCACCAAACACCAAUCUCAAUCACUCAGGAGCUGUUGCUCAUGAUCCAACGCAGCCCACCAGUCCUUACGAUAUUGGAAGCAACGAUACUUCAGGAGCCAUGCUCGUCACUCACACCUUGGACUCCAGUAACUACUUUUCUUGGGCUAAAUCCAUGAAGAGGGCCUUGCGGAUCAAGAACAAGCUUGGGUUCAUUGAUGGCACCAUCUGUGAACCUUCUGACCCCAAUGAUCACUUGAUGGAACACUGGCUGAGGAGCAAUGACAUCGUGAUAACAUGGAUGCAAAACACAAUGGCAGCCGACAUCAGGUCUAGCACUAUGUAUGCAGAGACUGCACAUCAACUUUGGUUGGAGUUGGAGCAAAGUUUUGCUCAGCAAAAUGCUCCUAGAAUUUUUGAAGUGAAGCAAAGCAUUACAAACUUAAAGCAAAACCAAGACUCAGUAAACGUCUAUUUUUCUAGACUUAAAACUUUGCUUGAUGAAUUAUUCAAUUAUGAAUCAAUUCCUAACUGCACCUGCGGAGGCUUGAAAGUUGUAGUCCAGAACCAGCAAAAGGAUUGUGUGAUGAAAUUCCUAAUGGGACUCAAUGAUACUUAUGAGGCUGUUAAAGCACAGAUACUACUAAUCAAAACCUUUUCCCAGCUUGAAUGAGGCUUACUCCAUCAUUCAGCAAGAGUAAAAGAGGAGAGAAAUUUCUAUUGACAGCCUGGGCAAUGAUUCUAUGGCUAUGGUGAGCAAAAGGAAUUUUAGCAAGCAAUUUACUGGACAACAAAGGAGAGAGAGGUAUUAUUGUACCUUCUGUAAAAUUCCAGGACAUUCUUUGGAGAGAUGUUUCAAAGUAAACCCAAACAAGCCCAUAUGUACUCAUUGCCAAAUGCCAGGCCACCCUGCUGAAAAAUGCCACAAAUUGCAUGGAUAUAAGGGAGAUGGGAAGAACACAUCUGUCAUGAAUUAGGCAAAUGCUACUGUUGGUUUUGAGCAGGAUGUUGUGAAGGACAAGCCUCAAGUGUCACUGACUCAGGAGCAGAAUACUCAGCUUCUGGCUCUCUUGAAACCUGCCUCCAGUAACCAAGCCUUCAUUCACUCGGUCAAUAACGUUCAUACCAUGGUUACACCUUGCUCCUCAGAUGCAAAUAGUCACAAAGUUUCUGGUAUAUCACUGUGUCUCUCUGCUCUUACUUCCAAAUCCAGUAAUAUUUCAAAAAUUCCUUGGAUUCUAGACACUGGAGCAACAGAUCACAUGAUCUGCUCCAAGUCCUUAUUUCAUUCUAUCCAAUCUACUGUUUCUUCUUCUGUAGCCUUACCAAAUGGCGAGAUAGUGCCCGUUACCCAUGUAGGAACGGCCAAAGUUACCAAGAAUCUUAUACUACAUGAUGUUUGUUGUGUUCCCAAUUUUUCCUUUAAUCUGAUUUCAGCAAAGAAAAUGUCUCAAGAACUAAAUUGUUGCCUUGUUUUCU
rnacentral:lncRNA from 1 species